UACGAAGGGGGCUAGCGUUGCUCGGAAUCACUGGGCGUAAAGGGUGCGUAGGCGGGUCUUUAAGUCAGGGGUGAAAUCCUGGAGCUCAACUCCAGAACUGCCUUUGAUACUGCCGUGCUUGAGGACUGGAGAGGAGACUGGAAUUUACGGUGUAGCGGUGAAAUGCGUAGAUAUCGUAAGGAAGACCAGUGGCGAAGGCGGGUCUCUGGACAGUUCCUGACGCUGAGGCACGAAGGUCAGGGGAGCAAACGAG
rnacentral:rRNA from 1 species